AAGGAGGCAGCAGUGAGGAAUUUUGGACAAUGGGGGCAACCCUGAUCCAGCCAUGCCGCGUGAGUGAAGAAGGCCUUCGGGUUGUAAAGCUCUUUCGGCCGGAACGAAAUCGGCAACGUGAAUAACGUUGCUGGAUGACGGUACUGGAAGAAGAAGCACCGGCUAACUACGUGCCAGCAGCCGCGGUAAUACGUAGGGUGCGAGCGUUAAUCGGAAUUACUGGGCGUAAAGCGUGCGCAGGCGGUUCCGCAAGUCAGAUGUGAAAUCCCCGGGCUUAACCUGGGAACUGCGUUUGAAACUAUGGAGCUAGAGUGCGGCAGAGGGGGGUGGAAUUCCACGUGUAGCAGUGAAAUGCGUAGAUAUGUGGAGGAACACCGAUGGCGAAGGCAGCCCCCUGGGCCGACACUGACGCUCAGGCACGAAAGCGUGGGGAGCAAACAGGAUUAGAUACCCCUGUAC
rnacentral:rRNA from 1 species